UUUGGUGGCUGAGUUAAGGCGAUAGAUUGUAAAUCUUUUCACGGUGUAUUUCCACCCCUUAG
rnacentral:tRNA from 1 species